rnacentral:rRNA from 1 species
UACGGAGGGUGCAAGCGUUAUCCGGAUUCACUGGGUUUAAAGGGAGCGCAGGCGGGCUGGUAAGUCAGUGGUGAAAUCCCUGAGCUUAACUCGGGAACUGCCAUUGAUACUAUCAGUCUUGAAUAUCGUUGAGGUUUGCGGAAUGGGUCAUGUAGCGGUGAAAUGCAUAGAUAUGACCCGGAACACCUAUUGCGAAGGCAGCAGGCUAAGCGAAGAUUGACGCUGAGGCUCGAAAGCGUGGGGAUCAAACAGG